UGUCACACUUGUAGGUGGACCUGGUGUGUCAUGGGAAGACAGAGGUGUUUCCUGACAGGGACACUGCAGACCCUUAUGCUGAGCCUAAGAAGAGAGGUAUCUUCCGUACAGUAAACAGUGGUAACGGUUUGACCACCGAUGACAUCGUACAGAGAAUCAUCAAGAACCGGCUGCUGUUUGAGGCAAGGAACCAGAAGAAGGAGGCCAAGGAGAUUGCGGUGUUUGAGGCGAUGAAAAGCCAGGGAGAGCAGGCCGGGGACACGGCCCAGGCAGCACAGUAACCAGAUCAAACUAGUUCAAACUAGACCCAGCUGUCCCAAAACUGAUCCUAACCCAGAGUUUCUCAAACUAGAGAAACUCUGAAAUAACUAUUUGUUUUAAAUUGCGUUUGGUUCAUAGAACUGGGGUUAAGUCAGUAACCUCCGGUAGCUGCUAGAUGCCGUUGUCAUAGUGAGAGCGGUUUUGGUUUUCUUUCCUCCUAUCUUUUGAAUGGUUUAAUCACGGUUUCCCUCCUCAAAGCCCAGAAGCCUCAGGACAGAGUGGACAAGACCAGGCACUAAAAUCAGACUGGAGGAAAAACAACAAUCACUGGUGUUCAUUUCUACUCAGCAGAUCAAACUAAAUGAUUGGCUGAUGAUCUUCUGAACUUCCCAAUACCUUUCUGAUGCAUUUGUCACUUCAAACAAUCCUUCAUAUUGAAACACUGUCAAAUGAACUGUCAACUAAUUUG